AGUGAACGCUGGCGGCAGGCCUAACACAUGCAAGUCGAACGGCAGCACAGUAAGAUCUUGCUCGGGCGGGUGGCGAGGGGGAGACGGGGGGGGAAUACAGCGUAAUCUGCUUUCUCGUGGGGGAUAACGGAGGGAAACUGACGCUAAUACGGCAUAUUACCUACGGGUGGAAGCAGGGGACCGGCGGACCUUGCGCGACGGUGGGGGACGGGGUCGGGUUAGCUAGUUGGGGGGGUAAAGGCCCACCAAGGCAACGAGCCGUAGCUGGUCUGGCAGGAUGAUGAGCCACACUGGAACUGCGACACGGUCGCGACUCCUCCGGGAGGCAGCAGUGGGGAAUAUUGUUCAAUGGGCGGCAGCCUGAUCCAGCCAUGCCGCGUGGGUGAAGAAGGCCUUCGGGUUGUAAAGACCUUUUGUUGGCAAAGAAGAGCGCCAGGUUCAUAUGUCGGUGUUUUGACGGUACCCAAAGAAUAAGCACCGGCUAACUACGUG
rnacentral:rRNA from 1 species